AAUUUUGGACAAUGGACGCAAGCCUGCUCCAGCCAUGCCGCGUGAGUGAAGAAGGNCCNNGGGUUNUNAAGGUCUUUCGGACGNNNNNAAAUCGCGCAGCCUAAUACCCUGCGCUGAUGACGGUACCGUCAUAAGAAGCCCCGGCCAACUACGUGCCAGCCGCCGCGGUAAUACGUAGGGUGCGAGCGUUAUUCGGAACUACUCGGCGUAAAGCGUGCGCAGGCGGUUGAUUAAGACCGGCGUGAAAUCCCCGGGCUUAAGCUGGGAACUGCGCUUGUGACUGGUCAGAAAGAGUACGGCAGAGGGGGGUGGAAUUCCACGUGUAGCAGUGAAAUGCGUAGAGAUGGGGAGGAACACCGAUGGCGAAGGCAAUCCCCUGGGCCUGCACUGACGCUCAUGCACGAGAGCGUGGGGAGCAAACAGG
rnacentral:rRNA from 1 species